GUUUACUUGCAGAUGGAAACGCCACAUAUAAUUUAAGUUUUUAAAAAUAUUUAUUACGUAUGGAUAGCAUGGUCUUCUAUGGCACCGAAAAAAAUUAUACCCCAGUACAAAUGGGGCGGGCAAUAGAAGCGGUAAGGAAAGGCGAAAAUAUAGAUAUAGCUGCAAAACAAUAUGGUGUUCCCAGAAUUACGCUUCAUGACAUCCUAUCAAAACUGCAAGAAGAUAUUUUAGAAACGUGGAUAUUAGCGAUGGCUGAUAAGCACUGUCCCGUAAGAGAAUGCUUAUUAGACAGUGUGCAGAAAAUCAUCACUGACCUAAACAUACCCAAUCCAUUCACCAACAAUAGACCGGGAAAAAAAUGGUUUCCUUUCUUUCUUAAAGAGACGCUAACAGAAAAAGUUGCCAAAAAUUUGUCAAAGGCUCGUGAUAAUGUAUCGGAAGAAAACAUCAAAAUAUGGUUCACAGAAAUAAAGACUUACCUUGAAGACAAUGAUCUGAUAGACAUUGUUCUUGACCCAAAUAGAUGUUUAAACGCAGACGAAACUGUUUUUUUUUGUCACCGAAGAAAGGCCGAGUACUUUCUAAAAAAGGUGAAAAACAUCUGUACAGCUCGAGUGGCGAUGACAAAGAAAAUCUCACGGUUUUGUUAACCGGUAAUGCUGCCGGGUUACUGGCUCCACCGAUGAUAGUUUUCGCCUAUAAGAGAAUUCCCAGAUACAUCUCUGACUCUGUUUAUAAUACUUGGGGUAUUGGCAAAUCGGAAACAGGCUGGAUGUGUAGUAACACAUAUGACGAAUAUAUUUUUUCAGAGCGCUAAAACUGUUUUGGAAAAAUGCCGUUUACGAAUGGAAGAUGGAAAAUUUAGGACAGAACAUCAGAAAAAAGAACUUCACGCCAGUUUUAAAAAGAGCUAUUGAAAAAUUUACGCCUGAGUGUGAAUAUGCCCCUUUGGAUCAGAAUAUAUAGAUAUGUCCAAAAUCGAACAUCGAGAGAAAGUUUCGGACUUGUCAGGUAAACCGGUAUCAACAGAGUUUUUGAAGUGCUUGGAAAAAGAGACUGUCAAAGUGUUUACCGCGAAACUGAGUUUAUUCAAUAAACUUUACUACGAAGACAGAAAAACGGUCGAGAAUAAUCUGCCUGAAGAAGACACAGCCUUGUACAUCAUAUUAUGGUCUAAAAAUAAGCACGACUACGGAAAUGAUUUUGAAGCUAAUUCAGAGACACCUACUAUUGAGAUAGUUAAC